AUUGAACGCUGGCGGCAGGCCUAACACAUGCAAGUCGAACGAGUGGCGGACGGGUGAGUAAUGUCUGGGAAACUGCCCGCUGGAGGGGGAUAACUACUGGAAACGGUAGCUACUACCGCAUCCCCUCGGAUGUGCCCAGCUGGGAUUAGCUAGUAGGUGGGGUAAAGGCGCACCUAGGCGACGAUCCCUAGCUGGUCUGAGAGGAUGACCAGCCACACGGGAAUGGAGACACGGUCCAUACUCCUACGGUAGGCAGCAGGGGGGAAUAUUGCACAAUGGGCGCAAGCCUGAUGCAGCCAUGCCGCGUGUAUGAAGAAGGCCUUCGGGUUGUAAAGUACUUUCAGCGAGGAGGCGUUACUCGCAGAAGAAGCACCGGCUAACUCCGUGCCAGCAGCCGCGGUAAUUC
rnacentral:rRNA from 1 species